rnacentral:rRNA from 1 species
GAUAAACGCUGGCGGCGUGCCUAACACAUGCAAGUCGAACGAUCCCGCAAGGGAGAGUGGCGGAAGGGUGAGUAACACGUGGGAAUCUACCUCCUCGCAGGGAACAACCUCUCGAAAGAGAGGCUAAUACCCAAAAGGGUCAGAAAUGAUCAGAGUCGAAAGGCGUGAGGAGAGGAGCCCGCGGCCCAUCAGCUAGUUGGUGAGGUAAUGGCUUACCAAGGCUACGACGGGUAGGGGAUCUGAGAGGAUGUCCCCCACACUGGAACUGAAACACGGUCCAGACGCCUACGGGGUGGCAGCAGUGAGGAAUAUUGGACAAUGGGCGAAAGCCCGAUCCAGCAACGCCGCGUGGAGGAUGAAGGCCUUCGGGUCGUAAACUUCUUUAGAGGGAGACGAGAAAGGACGGUAUCCCUAGAAUAAGCGACGGCAAACUACGUGCCAGCAGCCGCGGU